GGUAGCAAGCGGGUAAGCAUCAGCACUAAGGCUAACAAACCAAUCCCACUUCAAGUUCAACCGAAUUAGUAUCGACGCUGCGUGAACCGCAAGCGAAACGGGCGAGGAUCCUUUCUGGUACGCGAAAUCGGGUUUCCCCAUAACAUGAACAUUCUGUGCGGCUUUGAAAAUAGGGUUCGACUGGACAGUGAGAGCCACGCGCUCGCGGUCCGCAUGGGAAGCGGAAGGGUCGAGAUGGAGGAGGUACUGGUUGAGGGGAUGGUAGGUGGCGUGGAGGAGUCGGAUGAUCCGACCCGAAUCGGAACGUGACCUGUGAAGAUAGCAACAUCAAGCACGAUUUAAGUGAAAAUUAUGUCAAUUGUUUAACAACAAUCACAAUCAUAUCUUUUUCUAUUGAUGUUGAAGUUUAUAGCCUCUAUUACCAAUAACAUGAAAAGCUAAAAGUACAUGCAGACUCAGAGCAAAGGCAUUCAACAAAAUCAUACCUGUAAAAACGCGGAAAGCACUAGGGAGAUCUCUCUUCUGAGUGGCAUAAAACAUGUCAGUCCCUUCAGCAAGAUACAGGCCUGGAUCAACAAUAAUGGGUCUCAACCUCCUCGACCUACAGCAUUAAAAGCUAUGAAAAAUAAGUAUCACGACUAUAGUUCAUUCAGCAUCAAACACUUGAGAAUUGCAAUUCCCUCUCCAAAACACUACAAACAAUAAAAAAGACUUAAUUUCCACACACUAGCAAAUAUAAAAUAACUUCAUAAUGUAAGCUAGUUUUGGGAUCAUGGUGAGAAACUAUUAACCAUGAUAAAUACCUACCUUCUAAAUUUCAAUUAACAGAAGGAGAACUUUGAAACAACAAUUGAGUUGUCUUUAUAUAAUCUCGAAGACAUGGAUUGAAGCCAAUUAGCCAAGUUAGAUGGCCUGCAUUAUAAUCCAUUUGGCUAUGGUCCUUUUCCGGACUCUCCAUAAUCCAGGAUGCUUCGUACCAGGCUUCCCUUAUACUUCUAUUGAGUAUCUGUAUCUAUACUAUAUAUAAUGAGGAUUUUGAAAGUGUUGAUGUCUAACUUUUUUUCCUAAAAUACCUUUCAUUAUAUAUAAUUUACAAAAAAGAAUUAUUAUUUCCAAGAUUUGAAUUCCAGUAGUCAAAUUAUAAACUCAACUAAUCCAACAUUUAUUAUUUUUAUACAUAUUUAAUACAUAAAAGAGUGAAUCAAUAGGCACUACACUAGUGAGUAUAAUGCAAUUUUAAAACAAUAAACGCAUAAAACUGAACAUUAGCUUACUCUUUCCAGCCAAUAUAGCUUGAAUGAUUCACAAAGUUCAUAUCUUUAGGCAGGAAUGACAUGAUGUGAAGAAGAUCUGACAAUACACAAAAAAUAAAAAAAAAAUAAAAAUCAAUGCACCAAUUCAUAUAAACAAAUACAUACAUAACCGAACCCAAAAAAAGAGCCACAAAUGCAGCAAAUAAAAAUACACCAUACCAUACCAUCUUGGGUAGCAAGCGGGUAAGCAUCAGCACUAAGGCUAACAAACCAAUCCCACUUCAAGUUCAACCGAAUUAGUAUCGACGCUGCGUGAACCGCAAGCGAAACGGGCGAGGAUCCUUUCUGGUACGCGAAAUCGGGUUUCCCCAUAACAUGAACAUUCUGUGCGGCUUUGAAAAUAGGGUUCGACUGGACAGUGAGAGCCACGCGCUCGCGGUCCGCAUGGGAAGCGGAAGGGUCGAGAUGGAGGAGGUACUGGUUGAGGGGAUGGUAGGUGGCGUGGAGGAGUCGGAUGAUCCGACCCGAAUCGGAACGUGACCCGGAAAUGAGGUAGGCGAUGGAGGGAGGGGGAGGGUUGGCCUUGGUAGAGUCGUAGAUGAUGCGGUGGUUGUGGGCCUGGUGGGCCGGGAAGAGGAAAG
rnacentral:lncRNA from 1 species